GUUUAAGUUCAUCGAUAUGUUUGUUUAGAAAAGCUAUGAGGGAUUUUAUGUCUAUGGAGGUAGUCCGAUGGAACGUCAUUUGUUUACUGUUGACGAUUGCCGUCACUCAAGGUGAUUUGAUAUUUACAUCCGACAAACAGUAUGCACAACUACAUGGUACUAUAACGCUCACCUGCAACACAAGUGAAAGCGUUUCAGCGGUUGAG